CUGGACGUAUAACUUUUUCUCCAAAAGGACUCUUACCUUAGGAAAACAUGCCGUAGAAAUACACUCAGGCUUACCUCAAGGUAGCUGUUUAUCUCCAACAUUAUUUAAUAUAUAUACAGCCCAACUACACGAAAUCAACAAUCCUCACACGCACCUAUUUCAAUUCGCUGACGACCUAGCCAUAGUAUCCACAAACUCAAACAAAACAGCAGCAGUUCAAAAUUUACAAGAUAAAAUAGCAGAAUUACAGUUCAACAUAUCAAUCAACAGCACAAACUUGGAACAAGUCCAAUGCUUUAAGUGGUUAGGAAGAACCAUCAGCGCAAACUCAACGGUCAAGGUACAUAUUAGCAACAUUAAAAAAGCUGUAACUCCAGCAUUCGUCCGGUCCAAAGCUGAAUAUGCCAGCACCAGUUACGCCAAUGCACCAAAAGGUUACAACAAGCAACUUCAAACGAGCGUUAAUGAAACGCUACGGAGAUGU